UUUUUCUUCCCAGUCUCAGGUAUGUCUUUAUCAGCAGCGUGACAAUGGACUAAUACAAUGCCUUACUCAAGAUUGCAGAGCUAGUGCCAGUGUUGAAACCUGAGCAAUCUCACACCAAAUCCAGCUCAGGGAGAUUUACUAACUUAUCCAAGCAACUCUGGGUACAGUCAUUAUUUGAUUCCACUAUCACAGGCAGCUUUUUACUGUUGUGAAGUUCAACUGAGACACAGAGACCCAGAAGAGCAUUCAAGAGACUGCUAUAAUCCAGAACAUAGCACUUUAAGGCUUAUCCACUGGGAUCCUAGAACCUUUCAAAUGCUCCACUCCAUAUCCCAGCUCUAUUUCUGGACAGCAAGCCUGCUCUCCCCAAAUGGAGCUUUCACCUCCUCCCUGGGCCUUGAUCCCAAUACACAGAGGGUCAGAUGAGGUUCUGCAGACCAGAACAUUACCUCACAGUGACUUCCAGGAGGCAGGUCUCUUCGCCCCACUAGGGAGGAGAGGCCCCACUGCCCCUGCACCUGCAGCCAGGCAAGAGGAAGUUUCUUCUUUUUAAAAUCCCUCCUUGUUUCCAUAAAUCUCAGGCCUCUUAACCUUCCAAGCUCUGAAUAAAGGUACAGUGUUUCUUCUCCACAAACAGCAUACUGUGCCCCACUUCUAUCAAUGCAAGGGUCACCCAGUGCCCGUUGAAAACAGCCUUCCCAUUGAGAAUGUUCACAUUGCUUACUUUCCCUGUGGUUCUGAAUCUUCUCUCCUUGUCCAUUCAAAGUUCCAGUGAAGGUGCUGCAUUGAUAACAACUUUAGCCUCUCCAGUGUUCACAAUGGAAGGCCAGGAGAGAGAUUAUCCACAGCCCCGGGGGAAUUCUGAAGAUGGUGGGAAUGGGGUGGACCCCUGGGGCCCCAGCCGUCAGUGAGCAGCCCUGCAGCAGAUUUAACCCCAAUAAUAUUUGAAGUCCUACUGAAGUGCCAUGUCAAAGGCAUUACAGUAGCUCUGAAGAAAAAGUAAAAUACCUUCUGAAACAACUCUGGGAAGAAGCUCACCACCCGGCCACGAUACCCACUUCUUGCUGCCAAGAAGCUUCUAGCUACACGGUUUUUCCUUCCACCCCACAGUGCAGUGGAAACAAGACCCAAGCUCUUCUCAAGGAGUAAGCACAGGACAAGUUUCCUGCUAAGUGGUCCUAAGUCAACAAGGCCAUCUGAUAGGAAUUUGAGGAGUAGUGAAUUUUAUAGGAAUAGAGGGGAAAGGACUCUUUUUCCAUGUAGGCUUCUCUUGGAGUGGGGAGAUUAGGAAAUCUCCAUGAUAUAAAAUGAUGAAAGUUCGAAUCAUUGUCACCCUACCGGAAAGACUCCAAUUUGACCUUAGUGCUUAAUCCCUUUAGUUUGAAGUGUAGCUUAAAAGUAUUUAAAUAAAAUACAGCUGCCCCCAAACUGUGAGACUGUGAGUGGGAAGGGACAUGACUGUGUACUUGGAGACCUCAGGUAUGUUGGGGGUCGGGGGCAGCCACCGGGACGGUUAGAAAACCCAAAUGAGUCUUCUAACACUCAUUUACCCAAUUUAAAGAGAACAUUUUGACAAUGUUGUGCAAAUUUUUUUGCUGCCCACUUUUAGAAACUAUACUAGGACAAUGUGGGUGGUAUAUCGGAUUAUGUACACGAAACAUGUGAAGUAAAUAGGGUUGUGCCAUUUCUAAACAUCCAAAUACUGAGGUACAAAGAGAUGGAAUGAGUGUCUCAUGAUCCCACAGCUUAUCGGUGUUAAAGUUUAAAUGAAGGGGGGAAAAGGCAAUAGAUCUGAGAAACUUCUAGUUCAUAGGUCUCACAUGUCAUUGGUAAAGCGUGUUUAAGCGGGGAAAAAUGAUGAUGCUUUCAGUUGGAUUCUUAAUGAAAACUUGUUACAUUCCUUUACUUUUCUCCAGAGACAGCCCAGGCGACAGUUUGCACUUCGCAUUCCCUAGGGUAUCCAGUCACUGCGUGUUCUCUGCCCUCUUUCAGGACACAGAUGAAAUCCAUCUUCUGUCUUUCAUGGGAGUGGUGGGAGGACACGGAGGUGGGGGCGGAAUCAAGUUUAAAUACUAAGAAAAUGAAAACAGAUGCGUGGAGAGAAGGCGAUGCUGGUGGGAAUGAAGGCCCGGAAGCCGUUCUCAGUCCUGGCUGCGUCUGCAUGGCGCUCCUCCCCAAAACCCUCCUCCCGAGCCUCCGGGAGGGGCUGGCCUCCGCGGGCAUCGCCAGCAGGGAACCGCUCCUCCCUCCGCGGAAAACCCUGCUCGGCAGUCCCAGCAUGCCUUUUUCAAUACACUGUUUGCAAUUAAUUGGGAGAACCAGAGCUGGGAGAAUUAGGAGACAGACCAGUCCCUGAAACACGUGAGGAGAAAAGUGCAGGGCCUUGUCUGUUUGCAGGCACGGAGAACAGGUGCCAAGGGCAGCGGCUCCUUGGCUGGCCCGCGGGUCCAGGGGACGUGAGCAGACCAGGCCGGUGGCGGGUGGCCGGCCUGGGCGGGAGGCCGCUGUUUGUGGAGGGCCGGCCUGCCAGCCCCCGGACGCCAGGGUGGACUCGGCGGCCUGGCGGGGCUCAAGCCCAGCUAUCCAUCACUAGCCGCCUAGCGGCUAGCACCCCGGAGCAGGAGCCGCCCCGCCCACCUGGCUCCGCCCAGCCGCUGGCCAGAGCUCAUGCGCGCGGGCUGACGUCAGCACCCCGCCCCCGCCCGAGUCAGACACCCGGGUCCGCUCCGCCUGAGACUGAAGGGCGCCGGGUGUCUGCGGGGGCGGGGGAAGCUUGGGGCUUCACCAGGGGGCCAGCUGCCUGGGGGUCUCUCUCCCUCCACCAGUUCUCCUGGUCCUGGAGGGAGCCAUCCUCCGCAUAAAAUACCUUCCUGAACCGCGAUGUUGCUGCCUGCAGGAUACAACCCAGGCUCUUUAUAGCACUCCUCACACAACUGCCUCUGGACCUACUUUUACAAGAGGGGGUGGGGUACUGAGAGGAGGUAACUGUUCCUUGUGGCACAGGAGGAAUUUGGCCAGGAGGCUGCUCGUCAUGUUACUGGAACUGUGUGGGCUGGGCCAGAUGAGCUUGCUGAGAGUCCCAACAAGGACCUAUCCAGAACCAGAAGGAGCCCCAGAGAGUGGCGGCCCUGGCCUCGCUCACACAGUGUGCACACACAGGCAGUUUUAUACCUCCAGCAUGUUCACGCAAAUAAAUAGCAACCCCAAAGAAAACCUUCACAGUGUCUGCCAAUGAGCAUCUCAUACAAUUUAUAGUAUGCUGUCUACAAUUAAUUGAACCAACUCCAGGACCUCAUGGUGGGGACACGGGGGUCACAGGCAGAGGAAAGGCCAGGUUAUGCAACAGUGUUGUAUAGUGCGCAUCUGGCUCAUCUUAUGUGCUGAAUAUACUGCAGGAGAUGGCAGGCUUGGAAAUGUCAGCCAUGGCCAAGAUCCUGGCCAAAGGAGGCAAAGAUGCUGGAGGCCACUGGAUUCACACAGGACUACCCUCACAGGGCUCUGGGGCUAUGAUGGGUUCUUCACUGACAAGAGAAGAAAGACCUGGGGGUCACAGAAGCCUGAGCGACCUGAGUGAAGGCAGGCAUCACAAGGCCUAGUCUUAGAGCUGAGACAUGGAGGCCUGCAAGUAUAGAGCAGAACAGUGGGUUGUUUUAUUUUUUAAUCAGUGUACUGAGACUUUACAGAUUCUUAUAACUUCCUGAGAAGAACAUACCAGUAUUUUAGGCGUCUGUCUUAAAUGUACCCUGUAUUGUUUCUUAGAACCCCAAAGAGGCCUACAAUGAUGCUGGCGUUUUGCCUUGUACUUGCCAUCUGAUGGCAGGUGAGUUUUCACAAGCAUAUUACAGCCACUUGAAGGUGACAUGAAGGUGAUACCUGCCUCCUCUCCUACAGACCAAAUACUGCUAAACACUGGCUCCACUCUCCAGACAUAAAAGUAUGUGCAUGGAUUCAAGGAGCUUUAUUUUUAGAAAACCCUUGAACACAUGUAUACUGAACAACAACUGAAAGGAUAAAAAUCUCAUUUUGAUUUUAUCUAUAGCACAAUUUCUGGUACCGUGGAG
rnacentral:lncRNA from 10 species